rnacentral:pre_miRNA from 1 species
UAUUAAAAAUUUUAUCUAUUUAUAAUAUUAAAAAUUGACGUGGCUAAUAAAAUAAUUGAAUGAUGAUAUGUAACGUGCUAUAUAUAUCUUAUAUUGACAUACAUAGACUAAUUUUAAAUGGUAGAUAUGGAUGAAAUUUUUAUCA